rnacentral:lncRNA from 10 species
AUCCGCGCCAGCGGCCACCUCCCCGGCCCGCAACCGGCCUCAGGGGCCGAGAUUGCGGCCCGAGGUCCGGAAGCGGCGUCCAGCGCUGUCAGCGGGCGGAGUUCCUGUUUUAGUUGGCUUCUCUUCAUUGGAAGAAACAGAUUCACUCAAGUGACUUCAAGAAGAAUAGAGUUUAUUAUGAGGAUGCAGGUAAAAGAGCAUUUGUGGGGCCGGGCUCGGUGUCUCACACCUGUAAUCCCAGCACUUUGGGAGGCCAAGGCAGGUGGAUCACAAGGUCAGGAGUUCAAGACCAGCCUGGCCAAUAAGAAUGUCAGGCCUCUGAGCCCAAGCCAAGCCAAGCCAUCGCAUCCCCUGUGACUUGCAUGUACACAUCCAGAUGGCCUGAAGUAACUGAAGACACAAAAGAAGUAAAAAUAGCCUUAACUGAUGACAUUCCACCAUUGUGAUUUGUUUCUGCCCCACCCUAACUGAUCAAUGUACUUUGUAAUCUCCCCCACCCUUAAGAAGGUACUUGGUAAUCAAUCUCCCCCACCCUUAAGAAGGUUCUUUGUAAUUCUCCCCACCCUUGAGAAUGUAUUUUGUGAGAUCCACCCCUGCCUGCAAAACAUUGGUCUUAACUUCACCGCCUAUCCCAAAACCUGUAAGAACUAAUGAUAAUCCACCACCCUUUGCUGACUCUCUUUUCGGACUCAGCCCACCUGCACCCAGGUGAUUAAAAGCUUUUAUUGCUC